GGAAGGAACCAGGGUGAAGAGCAGCUCAUUUUUAAGCUGGAGAGGUUAACAAACACUGGCUGCAGGAUUUACUUUGGUUUAGGAAUACCACUGUCUCACAGGAGUGUCAAUCAAAAUUCCACAGCCAUUCUUCGACACUAGGAGGUGGGACUGACUGAUGUACAGCAGUGAUUUGACCCAGCACUUGGGGCAAACACAACCAGAGUCUUCGGUGUUAAUUCCCUGGUCUUCCCAACUAGCAUUCUGAAAGUGCAUUAACAUUUGUGGCCUUGUGCUCUUUCAUCGGACUUCUAAUGAGAAUUGUUUUUGCAAGCUGUUCAAGUAAGAAUUAGGUCUGCCAACAUUUUUAGAUGGCCUGUAAAAUUUACAUAAUGAUUUGGCCAUGCCCACAUGAGAACUACCUACAUAUACAGAAGUGCUCUCUUUAAUCUGUUACAAGCAUGACUUCUAUUAAACCUAUAG
rnacentral:sRNA from 1 species